CCUACGGGGGGCUGCAGUGGGGAAUAUUGGACAAUGGGGGGAACCCUGAUCCAGCCAUGCCGCGUGUGUGAAGAAGGCCCUCGGGUUGUAAAGCACUUUCAGUGAGGAAGAACGCCUGGUGGUUAAUACCCAUCAGGAAAGACAUCACUCACAGAAGAAGCACCGGCUAACUCCGUGCCAGCAGCCGCGGUAAUACGGAGGGUGCGAGCGUUAAUCGGAAUUACUGGGCGUAAAGCGCGCGUAGGUGGCUUGAUAAGCCGGUUGUGAAAGCCCCGGGCUCAACCUGGGAACGGCAUCCGGAACUGUCAAGCUAGAGUGCAGGAGAGGAAGGUAGAAUUCCCGGUGUAGCGGUGAAAUGCGUAGAGAUCGGGAGGAAUACCAGCGGCGAAGGCGGCCUUCUGGACUGACACUGACACUGAGGUGCGAAAGCGUGGGUAGCAAACAGGAUUAGAUACCCCAGUAGUC
rnacentral:rRNA from 1 species